GACGAACGCUGGCGGCGUGCUUAACACAUGCAAGUCGAGCGGUAAGGCUCCUUCUGGAGUACACGAUCGGCGAACGGGUGCGUAACACGUGCGUAAUCUGCCCUUCCCUUCGUGAUAACCACCUGAAACGGUGUCUAAUACCUACUACGACCAGUCUUCGCAUGAGUUGCUGGUGGAAAGUCUUUUCGGUGAAGGAUGUGCUCGCGGCCUAUCAGCUUGUUGGUGGGGUAAUGGCCUACCAAGGCUUCGACGGGUAGGCGGCCUGGGAGGGUGACCGGCGAGACUGGGCAUGAGACGCGGGCCAGACUCCUACGGGAGGCAGCAGUGGGGAAGAUUGGACAUUGGGCGAAAGGCUGAUACAGCAACGGCGCGUGAGGGAUGACGGCGUUCGGGUUGUAAACCUCUUUCAGUACCGACGAAGCGGCCGGUCGGGUGGUGACGGUAGGUACAGAAGAAGGACCGGCCAACUACGUG
rnacentral:rRNA from 1 species